GAUGAAGAACGCAGCGAAAUGCGAUAAGUAGUGUGAAUUGCAGAAUUCAGUGAAUCAUCGAAUCUUUGAACGCACAUUGCGCCCUUUGGUAUUCCUUAGGGCAUGCCUGUUCGAGCGUCAUUUAAACCUUCAAGCUCAGCUUGGUGUUGGGUGACUGUCCGCUUCACCGCGGACUCGCCUCAAAAUUAUUGGCGGCCGGUACAUUGGCUCUCGAGCGCAGCAGAAACGCGUAACUCGAGGUCCUCGUGCUGGCUCCCAGAAGCUAUCUUCACAAUUUUGACCUCGGAUCAGGUAGGGAUACCCGCUGAACUUAAGCAUAUAAUAAGCGGAGGA
rnacentral:misc_RNA from 1 species